CAUGUUAAAAACAAAGUACAAACACAUUUAUGUGCUUAGACUGCGUCCUCAGAUGAAGGUAUCAAUAGCCUUGUUACUGUGAUGCCGUGAUGAGUAAGACAUUGAACAACUAUAAGAAGAAAAGUGAAACAUUAGGCUUUCUUCCA